GUUUGAUCAUGGCUCAGAGCGAACGUUAGCGGCGGGCCUAACACAUGCAAGUCGAACGCGAAAGGUCUUCGGACUGAGUAGAGUGGCGCACGGGUGAGUAACACGUAGGUAAUCUACCCUUUGGCGGGGGAUAACGUUCCGAAAGGAGCGCUAAUACCGCAUAAGACCACGGAGUCUCCGGACGCUGUGGGAAAAGGUGGCCUCUUCUUGAAAGCUACCACCGAAGGAUGAGCCUGCGUCCCAUCAGCUAGUUGGUAAGGUAAUGGCUUACCAAGGCGAAGACGGGUAGCUGGUUUGAGAGAAUGAUCAGCCACACUGGCACUGGAACACGGGCCAGACUCCUACGGGAGGCAGCAGUGAGGAAUAUUGGGCAAUGGGCGAAAGCCUGACCCAGCCACGCCGCGUGAGUGAUGAAGGUCCUCGGGUCGUAAAGCUCUGUGGAGAGGGACGAAAACCCUGGUUUCAAAUAGGCUCCAGGCUUGACGGUACCUCUUUAGCAAGCACCGGCUAACUCUGUG
rnacentral:rRNA from 1 species